UAGGCAAUCUCUUCUUUGUGAUUUUCCUCCUUCUGCCCAGAAGAGACAAAGCAUUCCUUGAUUGUCACUGCGAGUUUUAUUACUAUUUGAAAAGUGCUGCAAUAGGAUGAAGCCAUAUUGGUGCAGAAGAUACCUGUGCAGAAACAACCCCAUGGUAUAUGAUCUGCAUGAUCAAACACGGAUACUGCCCUUCAGACAUCAAAUACAUUAAGCUCUCAAACACCUGCAGAAGUUUAAUCACCAAAAGGUCAGGAAGGACUUCAUCAACUUAUCUGAUUUGCUGAAGACUCCAAAUGAGUAUGAAUCACCUAUCAGAAUAAUGCUGAAGCAGGAAUGGGCAACUCAUAGCUUUGGAGUCACAUAUGGUUGCUAGCACUUUGUUUUAGAGUCCCCACACACCCCAGGAAACUGAAGACAGAGGAGAACAUGCUGUUGCCCAAUAAAUCAUCAAGAACAGGUGGAGAAGAGACUUCUGCAGCGUGUGGUAGUGAGAAGGUGAAAGCUCAGCCAAUGAUCUCUGUGAUGAGGAAAGAACAUGACAAGUAUAUAGAAAUGCUCAUAUUUUAAACUCUGCAAUAUUGGAGAGGAGGAGUAUUACGCUAUGCAUACUUUACUAUUAUAGGAAACCUUAGCCAUCAAACUUGAUAUAUUCUGAUCCUGUGAGAGUUUAAGGCCAAAAUAUACAUUUCUUUCAAUGGGGGGGGGGAAUGUGUGACCCU